rnacentral:lncRNA from 1 species
AAAGUUCCUCUGUCUACUCGGAUAGAGUCUCCUUUGUAUUUGCACGGCGUACCAACUAUACAGCAGAAUCUCAACCACAACCUACAUUUACCAAUCAACAACCAAUUCAUGAUAUGCAUUUCCAUACAGCUACCAAUCCUUAAGAUGAUGCAUGCCUCUAAGCACUUCUUAGGCGUUGGAUGAUGCAAUGCACAGUACAACAAUCAUUCAUGCAAUGCACAGUACCCGGAAGCUUUAUUUUUUUAACUCUAAUUCAAUCAUUCAUGAAAAUCAUUCGAAAGCCUUUUGAAAACUGUUUCACAUACGAAAACUCUA